rnacentral:rRNA from 1 species
GACGAACGCUGGCGGCGUGCUUAACACAUGCAAGUCGAACGGAAAGGCCCUGCUUUUGUGGGGUGCUCGAGUGGCGAACGGGUGAGUAACACGUGAGUAACCUGCCCUUGACUUUGGGAUAACUUCAGGAAACUGGGGCUAAUACCGGCUAGGAGCUCCUGCUGCAUGGUGGGGGUUGGAACGUUUCGGCGGUUGGGGAUGGACUCGCGGCUUAUCAGCUUGUUGGUGGGGUAGUGGCUUACCAAGGCUUUGACGGGUAGCCGGCCUGAGAGGGUGACCGGCCACAUUGGGACUGAGAUACGGCCCAGACUCCUACGGGAGGCAGCAGUGGGGAAGAUUGCGCAGUGGGCGGAAGCCUGAGGCAGCAACGCCGCGUGCGGGAUGACGGCCUUCGAGUUGUAAACCGCUUUCGCCUGUGACGAGGCGUGAGUGACGGUAAUGGGUAAAGAAGCACCGGCUAACUACGUG